rnacentral:rRNA from 1 species
UACGGAGGGUGCAAGCGUUAAUCGGAAUUACUGGGCGUAAAGCGUGCGUAGGCGGUUUGUUUAGUCAGAUGUGAAAGCCCCGGGCUCAACCUGGGAACUGCAUUUGAUACUGGCAGACUAGAGUAUGGUAGAGGGGGGUAGAAUUCCUGGUGUAGCGGUGAAAUGCGUAGAUAUCAGGAGGAAUACCAGUGGCGAAGGCGGCCUCCUGGACUAACACUGACGCUGAGGUACGAAAGCGUGGGGAUCAAACAGG